rnacentral:tRNA from 1 species
AGUACAGUAAGCUAAUAAAGCUUUCGGGCCCAUACCCCGACAAUGUUGGUAUCAAACCCCACCUUUACUA